UUGGGAAUAUUGGACAAUGGGGGAAACCCUGAUCCAGUGACGCCGCGUGAAGGAAGAAGGUCUUCGGAUUGUAAACUUAUUUUAUCAGGGAAGAAAAAAAUGACUGUACCUGAAGAAGAAGCACCGGCUAACUACGUGCCAGCAGCCGCGGUAAUACGUAGGGUGCAAGCGUUAUCCGGAUUUACUGGGUGUAAAGGGCGAGUAGACGGCGUUGCAAGUCAGAUGUGAAAGGCUAGAGCUCAACUUUAGGACUGCAUCUGAAACUGUAAUGCUAGAGUGCAGGAGAGGUAAGCGGAAUUCCUA
rnacentral:rRNA from 1 species